rnacentral:rRNA from 1 species
UACCUGGUUGAUUCUGCCAGUAGU